rnacentral:rRNA from 1 species
AUUGAACGCUGGCGGCAGGCCUAACACAUGCAAGUCGAACGAGUGGCGGACGGGUGAGUAAUGUCUGGGAAACUGCCUGAUGGAGGGGGAUAACUACUGGAAACGGUAGCUAAUCCCGCAUACCAUCGGAUGAGCCCAGAGGGGAUUAGCUAGUAGGUGGGGUAAAGGUCAACCUAGGCGACGAUCCCUAGCUGGUCUGAGAGGAUGACCAGCCAAACGGGAAAUGAGACACGGGCCAGACUCCUACGGGAUGCAGCAUUGGGGAAUAUUGCAAAAUGGGCGCAAGCCUGAGGCAGCCAUGCCGCGUGUAUGAAGAAGGCCUUCGGGUUGUAAAGUACUUUCAGCGGGGAGGCGUUACCCGCAGAAGAAGCACCGGCUAACUCCGUGCCAGCAGCCGCGGUAAUUC